UACGUAGGGAGCAAGCGUUGUCCGGAAUCAUUGGGCGUAAAGCGCGCGUAGGUGGCCCUGUAAGUCCGUUGUGAAAGUCAAAGGCUCAACCUUUGAAAGCCGAUGGAUACUGCAGGGCUAGAGUACGGAAGAGGCGAGUGGAAUUCCUGGUGUAGCGGUGGAAUGCGCAGAUAUCAGGAGGAACACCAAUAGCGAAGGCAGCUCGCUGGGACGUUACUGACACUGAGGAGCGAAAGCCAGGGGAGCAAACGGG
rnacentral:rRNA from 1 species